rnacentral:rRNA from 1 species
UACGUAGGGUGCGAGCGUUUAAUCGGAAUUACUGGGCGUAAAGCGUGCGCAGGCGGUUUUGUAAGUCAGAUGUGAAAUCCCCGAGCUCAACUUGGGAACUGCGUUUGAAACUACAAGACUAGAAUAUGUCAGAGGGGGGUAGAAUUCCACGUGUAGCAGUGAAAUGCGUAGAGAUGUGGAGGAAUACCAAUGGCGAAGGCAGCCCCCUGGGAUAAUAUUGACGCUCAUGC